rnacentral:rRNA from 1 species
GACGAACGCUGGCGGCGUGCUUAACACAUGCAAGUCGAACGGAAAGGCCCUGCUUUUGUGGGGUGCUCGAGUGGCGAACGGGUGAGUAACACGUGAGUAACCUGCCCUUGACUUUGGGAUAACUUCAGGAAACUGGGGCUAAUACCGUAUAGGAUCUCCUGCUUCAUGGUGGGGGUUGGUAAGUUUCGGCGGUUGGGGAUGGACUCGCGGCUUAUCAGCUUGUUUGUGUGGUAGUGUCUUACCAAGGCUUUGACGGGUAGCCGGCCUGAGAGGGUGACCGGCAAAAUUGGGAAUGAGAUACGGACCAGAAUACUACGGGAGGAAGCAGGGGGGAAUAUUGCAAAAUGGGAGGAAGCAUGAUGAAGAAACGCAGCGUGCGGGAUGACGGCCUUCGGGGUGUAAACCGAAUUAGAAUGUGAAGAAGAGUGAGUGACGGUAAUGGGUAAAGAAGCACCGGCUAACUACGUG